rnacentral:lncRNA from 1 species
GGAGGUCUGUGGGGAGCACUGGUUUCCCCAGGCCCCAGAGACUUAAACACAGGAAGAAAAAGGCAAGAGAGAAUUAACGAUGCCACAGCCCAUGGCAGACAGCGGCCCUGCCUCCUACCCUUGCGUCUCAGGACCAGCUUGUUGAAGAGAUCCCACAUCAGUUCCCUGCCUUGGCUUACGGCUCUCACUGCAAUAGGAAAGCCACGGAGUGGGGUGUGGGGUUCAGUCACAUUUGACCCCCGGCUCCGUGUUCCUGUCCCCUGUAGUGUUUUUGUUAUUAGACCCUUUUUUCUCCUUGGUUUAGGAAUGGGGGCCCCAGGGCCACCCUUGUCCAGGCUCCCUCUACCGUAGAGGUGAGAAUUCCAGGGA